UGGGGAAUAUUGGACAAUGGGCGAAAGCCUGAUCCAGCCAUGCCGCGUGUGUGAAGGAGGUCUUCGGAUUGUAAAGCACUUUAAGUUGGGAGGAAGGGCAGUAAGCGAAUACCUUGCUGUUUUGACGUUACCGACAGAAUAAGCACCGGCUAACUCUGUGCCAGCAGCCGCGGUAAUACAGAGGGUGCAAGCGUUAAUCGGAAUUACUGGGCGUAAAGCGCGCGUAGGUGGUUCGUUAAGUUGAAUGUGAAAGCCCCGGGCUAAACCUGGGAACUGCAUCCAAAACUGGCGAGCUAGAGUAGGGCAGAGGGUGGUGGAAUUUCCUGUGUAGCGGUGAAAUGCGUAGAUAUAGGAAGGAACACCAGUGGCGAAGGCGACCACCUGGGCUCAUACUGACACUGAGGUGCGAAAGCGUGGGGAGCAAACAGG
rnacentral:rRNA from 1 species